GCAAAAGUAGAUGGUGUCUUAUUUGAUUCCAGCAUCUCCCGAAUUUUUCAUCUCUCGAUUCGAGCCAAUUUUUAGCAUGCGACAUUGGGAGGAAAUCUUUCGCGGGGUUGUCUGGAUUCAAAUUUGACGUGA
ensembl:ncRNA F33C8.10 ncRNA